rnacentral:lncRNA from 1 species
AAGCCAGCAGGCAACCUGCUCCAGUCACCUUCCAUGCUGUGGAAGCUUUGUUCUUUCGCUGUUCACAAAAAAUCUUAUUGCUGCUCACUCUUUGGGUCUGUGCCACCUUUAAGAGCUGUAACACUCACCACAGAGGUCUGCAGCUUCAUUCUUGAAGUCAGUGAGACCAAGAAUCCAUCAGAAGGAACCAACUCUGGACACAUUAGGACAUGGGCCUGGAGCUGCUGGGGCCAUUUCUGCCACCUUGUAGGGACAGCCAGCUCGAGGAUGAAGUCAACAGAGAAGAACGGAAGCUGAGAAACAGAACUAAUCAUUCCACCUAGCACCUGGGUUCAGCCAGGACUAACACUGGUCAUGUGAUGAGAUGAGAGGACAGCUGUUCUCCCCUCACUCAAGGUAGCACUCUGAGGUGUCCAGGAGGCGAUCCACAAAUCAUCCCACUGAGUGUGCUUACAGCCGGUUUCUCCCACCUCAGCCCUGCUGCGAGGAAGGACUAAGAAAAACAGCCUGCAUGGGCCGGGCUUGGAUUUCAAGUUCUCAGAUAAAGAAGCAACAGCUAAGAAAACUUAACUGGCUUAUCCAACAUCACACUUG